rnacentral:rRNA from 1 species
AUUGAACGCUGGCGGCAGGCCUAACACAUGCAAGUCGAGCGGAUGAAGGGAGCUUGCUCCUGGAUUCAGCGGCGGACGGGUGAGUAAUGCCUAGGAAUCUGCCUGGUAGUGGGGGAUAACGUCCGGAAACGGGCGCUAAUACCGCAUACGACCUGAGGGAGAAAGUGGGGGAUCUUCGGACCUCACGCUAUUUGAUGAGCCUAGGUCGGAUUAGCUAGUUGGUGGGGUAAAGGCCUACCAAGGCGACGAUCCGUAACUGGUCUGAGAGGAUGAUCAGUCACACUGGAACUGAGACACGGUCCAGACUCCUACGGGAGGCAGCAGUGGGGAAUAUUGGACGAUGGGCGAAAGCCUGAUCCAGCCAUGCCGCGUGUGUGAAGAAGGUCUUCGGAUUGUAAAGCACUUUAAGUUGGGAGGAAGGACAGUAAGUUAAUACCUUGCUGUUUUGACGUUACCAACAGAAUAAGCACCGGCUAACUUCGUG